UAUAACCACCCUUUCUACAUCACUCUUUGGCUCUCUGUGGCACUCUUUGGAUGACGUAACAUAUACAUGCAUGUGUACAUACAUAUGCAUACGAGCGUAUGUUGACUUUUUGCCUAACCUAUAUCUUCAUAUACCUUGGCAGCGUGCAUAGUUCAAAGUCAAUGUUUUCCAUAAGAAACCAUACAACGAAAUAGCACUCCCGUGAGCCAAUAUUGGAUACACUUUUUUGUCGUUCGUCAUGAAUCAAAGAGUGUCGUAUGGUGGAACGACAAUCUGAUUGCAAGUGUAGUUGCAAGUGAUUAAUUGAUACACAAUUAAACUGGCAAACAUUGCUCGUUGCUUCUAGAUCUUAUAAUAUUCCUCUAGCGCACAUCAAAGUGAAUAUAUCUUUAUCGCUGCAGGGUAGUAGAAUAUGAGUAGGUGUCAGCACUAACCGCGACUGCGGAAUCGACGCGACGCAUACGCUGGCAGUCUCCAGCCCCAAAGCCGGCUGUAGCCUUGUGUGUGUGUGUGGGAAUAAAUGUGGUGGAGGCAUUUCGUCAUCGUGUAUGAUCCCAAAGCUCUUAAAUAUCGGCCAGUCGCUGCUUAUAACAUACUUUUCGAGAGAGCGCAUUUCUGCUCUCCCUCUCGCGUCAUCUGUCUUUUGUUUGUUGCUUCUUUCCCCCGUUCAUCCCCUUCCACGGAUCAUUAUCUACCGCUUUUAUCUACCUAUUCUGUUUAUUUGUUUCCCAUUUUUGAUUUCCACGCUAAGAAUACGGAGACAGCAAAGCCACAUGCGUACACGAUCGCUUUUCAUAUUGCAUGCAUAUGCCCAGGAAUGACCUCUGCGGUAGGAGGACCAAAACGAAUGAUGAUGCAACGGCAUUACUGGAUAAAUAUAGAAAACUUUUCGGGAGAGAGAAACAACCUCUGGACGGUACUUGUGCGAUCAUCAAUUCACACACAUAUCUGCGCAGAGACAUAUCGUUCAUACAUACACCGCGAAACUAGGACCGAAGCCCAUAAUACAAAGCAUGGUUGCUAGGAAUACAAAGUUAAACAUCUCUUGAAUACGCCUCCGCAAAUCCCAUCGAAAAUCCCCACUACAUUAAAGGAUAUGUUGAAAAAUAUCAUUGUUGAAGAAUAGCGUCAAGUGACGGUAUAGAAUGGCAAGAAAUUGGUCGAAUCAAUGCUAAAACGGCUGGCCGAUGUAAUAAAAUGUAAAGGGUAUUCGAUAUUCAAAUAUUAAAAAAAAAAAAAUUUUUAAUUGAAUAUCAGACAACUUUUUACAUUUUUUGUUAUAUAGUAUUAAGAAUAGUGUACACAUAUGUUAGAUACAAAGGAGUUUAAUCAAAAUAGUGCAUGAAAAAUAUUUUAUUAUUCCUAAG